AGGAAUGUUUGUGGAAACAGUACGUUUUAAAUCAGUACUGAAGAAUGCUCCUGGGAAAGAAAUCCAGUGUUCAUAAUUACCGCAAUCAGGCCUGGAAGCCUACCCUUUCAUCCUACAAAAGGCCACAAAACACAACGGCUAAAUUAAAAACUAGAUAUAUCAAAUCCCUGUCUUACAACACCCUGUGCAAGGAAAGGAAUCACCCACAAAAAUCAGUGAUUUCAUCUGGUCACUCUGCAAAUGUUGGUGAGUUUUCUUCCUCUAUAUGAGAAAGGUUGUAGCAUUAAGUAAAUCAUGUUCCACUUGAACUAGGAAAAUGCUGUGACCCUUUCCCCUCUCUCUCUGUUAUUUUAUCUUUCCUCAUUCAUCUAAGCAGCACAUCCCUUUUUCCUACACUGGCCUAUUUUUCCUUUCUCUUUCUGUGUCUCUCUCACUCAUUUCCACCUCAUUUUUUUUUCAAUCUGCCCUGUGCUGUCCUCACAGCAAUACAAGAGGAGAUAGCAUCUCACAGUUCAGUUACUUCUUCACAGUAACAUCAGACCUCACCAGAACCUGCCGCAGACUUUCCCUUCUCCUCUACCAAGUCUCAGGAUAGAAUAUGACCUUCAGUCUGUAUCAUCACAUCCUCUAUCCUUUCACACUGCUACUCCUCCACCUCCACAGUAGCCAACUUUCUGUCCUUCAACUCUCAAUGCUCAUCUCUCUCUCUAGUUUCCCCACUUCAGUCAGACUCUUUCUCUCUCCUUAUUUCUCUUUCUUUGCCCUGGGCUCCAAGCCAAAUGCCUCAGAUCUGAUGGCUAAAAAGAAAAAAAGAAAAACCCAACUCCAAAGGUCUGCACAGAAUUAAACCACGUUUGCCCCAGAUGGUUUUGAUGGUUUGGAGACAAGAAAAGAAGAAUUCAGAUACAGAGAAGACUAGAUACUCGGAUUUUCUGAAUAAGCAAGUAAUGCCAGAAAACAUACCAGGCUAAUUUCAUUCACAUUGAACUAAUGUAAAUUACUGGUGGUAAGGAUCAAGGCUGAGAUGUUCAAAAGGACUAGAGGUAAGGUUUUUAAAAGCUCUUUACUGACUUAGGAGUUAAAGACCUGUUUUCAAGAGGAAGUUAAGGCCAAAGCCCUCUUCUGAAGUAUGACUUAAGUCUACCAGUCAGACUGACAUUCAUAGAUUCUAACAACCUUGUCACCACCUAAUUUUCAGUGGGGAAGUCCUCAAGAGUGAACCUACCCAGCGGGAAGGUACUGUCUGUGCCUUGGCAGAAGCGAGCAGCUCAGUUCCAGUCCUGUGCCUAAGUCCUAGGCUGACUCUGAAAUCCAGUGAGAAUGCCCACUGGAUCUGUCUGAUACACCACAAAGUCACAUCAACUUCAUAUCAAUCAUGCACUUAAUGUAGCCUUCCUGGGACCAAGCUGAGCAGUACCAGGUUGUUGUCCCUUCAGCACUUCAUUCAAACUCCAUCAUUUACCAAAGAUUCAAAUGUGGAUUCUCCUCUUUCUAAGACAAAGUUUUACCCCUGGCUGCAAGAGUCCCCAUUGGGUCUUGUCUUGUUCUUCCUGCUGUAGUAUCUUUGUUUCGUGUAAAAUACUGAAAGAUUGACUGUAGCUGUGAAGAAGCCCAGAAUGAUUCCAUAGCCCAGUGAUCAACAUUACCUCAAAGGUGGAAAGCUGUUUUCAAAGCCCAGUCUUGAAACUUAAAGAAUGUCAUGGGAGACUAAAAUGCAUAGGAUGUUUCUGGUUUCCUUACCAGUUUGUUUUGAUUUAAAAUGACAACGGAGCUACCCUUUAUUUCCAGGAGAGGAUUAAUGGCUCCACGAGAGACAACUUCCUCAUUUCAGCAAUGCAAGGCCGGAUAGGAAAGUCCUGUCCUUCUCUCUCGGCAUUUAGAGGUUGGUCUGGACACGUCCAAGAUAACAUAUGAACUUCGGCAGCUGUGUAUACUAUUCUGCAGGUGCCUACAAUUCCUCCACCAAAAGUCUAUGGCACUUGUUCUCUCCCAAAAUACGUAAGGUACUAAUUUCAGAGGUACCUUAGUGCUGGAUGUUUACAGAUAUUUACAUCUCCAAACUGCACUUACAUAAAAUAUUCCUCAGUGCGUUAUCUAUCAACUUCCAGUUAAACUUGUGCUUCUAUGAUUCUGAGUACUACAGACACUUUUAGAAAAUCCUAGUCUUACAAAUACUAAGCACCAAAAAGACUGAUUUUGAAACAGUUCACCAUCUUGAGAAUACAUUCUCACGUGCAAUCAGUUUCCUGGCUGAUAUCUCAAUGAAAUGCCCAGAUUUUCAAGAAUGCCAAGUACACUCAGCCAUUCUUCUCUACAGAAUUCAUCAUUUCUUUCCUUAAGUCAGCUUGGAGUUGAGUACCUUAAAAAAAAGAAGAAGAAAAAGAAAAGAAAAAGCCCUAUAAUGAUGUGGUGUUACCUCUCUGAACAGCUCCAAUCGUCUAAUAUUUUGCUGGCAGAAAUAUCUCUCCAAAGGAAGUCACAUCUUCCUUCCCACAAAUUCUGAGUUCAGCAGCAGUAAAGGUAGAUCAUCAACGAAUUAUUUUGAAAAUCCCACCCUCUGUAUCAAGUCACAGCAACUCAACACCAAUUAAAUUUUGGAUCCUGAGUCUUUUCAACAAACUAGCUGUUAAUGAUCUAUAGGCAAAGACUGUUUGACAAGCAUGGAUGAAAUGUAAAGCCAUAUGUGAAAAUCACCAUCUUUUCACAUAUGACUUGUGAAGAGAAGGAGAAAAAUAUGAAUCAAAUUAGCUAUCAUUAUAAAUAGUGGUCUGAAAAUGAAUCACAGAUGUUCUGAUGAAGAAUGGUAUUUUUCGUAACACAAUUCUUCUGAAAAAUGCUCAUUCUGCAUGAAAAGGAUCCUUUUUCCCCUGAAGAAACUGAUUGUUCAAAAUAUUGAAGUAUUCCAACCAUGCAGAAAGACAUUUCUGCAUGCCUUUGCAAUGUUCCAUGGGAGCUGGAUUUUGUUCUUUGGUGUUCAUCUAAGCCAAACUCCUUAAGCGAAUUACUUUUCAAAUGUCAUAUAUCUAUCAUCUUUAAGGGAGGAGGCCACAGAGGAUCAGUCCAAAUAGAAGACAGGUUUGAAAAAGCUUUAAGAAGUUUAAAGCCAGGUACUACGGCAGCUUUUCCAAUCAGAAAUAUUCAGAUCUUUCACCUUAUAUUUUCUUGUUAUUCACUCUUCUCUUUUACUAUAGUUACAAUUCUUCUCCUUGAUGCUUAUGCUAUCCAUAAGUUAGCAACAGUUAUUGACAGGCAGUCGAGUCAUUUGACAAAGAUAC